UCUGUCUCACAGGUGUCCACCAGAAGCU
rnacentral:piRNA from 1 species